CACAAAACAGCCACGCCGCGUCCCCGGGGCCAGCCCCCCAACCUUGUCUUCAGAGCUCCGGCGAGGUCGGCGAUACGAGUGCUCGUGGCGGCGGCCGUGAGGAGGUGGGAGAGCGGCAAGGGGGAUCCUGUGCCCAGGAAACUAAAGUACACGAAGCGUAGAAACCCGAGUCAAAGUUACCAGGAUAAGUUGAGAGAGCGUUCUUCCGCUCCCUUCGAUAGCUCAGCUGGUAGAGCGGAGGACUGUAGACGAAUGUCGCCAGCCAUCCUUAGGUCGCUGGUUCGAUUCCGGCUCGAAGGAGAGGGUCUUAAUUUUGUUGCUUUGGCCUUAAACUAUGAAGAAAGGUCAAGAAUGUGGUCAAGAAUAUUUAUCUUCUCUUGUAAAAGCUCUGAUCUCUCUCUAGAGGAAGAGAUAACCAGCCGUGGCCAGCGGUGGGGGAUUAGCUCAAAUGGUAGAGCGCUCGCUUAGCAUGCGAGAGGUAGCGGGAUCGAUGCCCGCAUCCUCCAGUUUUUCUCUUGGUCUCCCGGUGGUAGUUUUUCUUUAGAUUCUCAUUCGAGCCUACGUAGAGCUGAAAGUUAGCCGUAGGGCAAGUGAGAAGUUAGGCGAGCUCUUGAGUCUACCGCUACUAAAACAUCCCAGGCGAGGGCUAACGGGUGCUUGCAGGGGUAAAUUUAAAAUUUUAGAAGUUUUAGACCCAUUUACUUUGUGUAGUUCACGAAAUAGGUUCGUUUUCUUUCCAAAAUUGGCGAUAGACUGCAGUCACGUCUGCCGGCACUCACUGUCUUUUGUGAUUGAUGGCUGCUCUUAAAGGGACCCAUAUGAGCCUAAUCGUUAGGGGGAACCGACAGAGAAACAAACAAACAAAACAAAACAACAACAACAACAAACAAAACCCAGAACUUGGAAAAGGACGCUGGCUACUUUAAACUUAUGUUGAGCCUGGGAGGCGAGGACUGUUCUUGUCCAUCUCAACUGCAUAUAGUGGGAUGCCUGGCUCUCAGCAGAUCCAAGACGGAUAAGAUAAGCAAGGGGUACCUGAGGACAGAUAAGGAAGUGGGAAAGUCCCUGGACCCAGAGGCUUCUUGUUUGAGGAUUCUAACGUCAUUUCCGACCUGCAUCAGGAUCUUUUCCAGUGAGUCAGUUCUUCACAUCAGGAGGCCAAAGUAUUGGAGCUUUAGCUCCACCAUCAGUUCUUCCAAUGAAUAUUCAGGACUGAUUUUCCUUAGGACUGACAGCUUGAUCUCCUUGUAGGCCAAGGGACUCUCAAGAGUCUUCUCCAACACCACAGUUCAAAAGCAUCAGUUCUUCGGCACUCAGCUUUCUUUACAGUCCAACUGUCACAUCCAUACAUGACUACUGGAAAAACCAUAGCUUUGACUAGAUGAACCUUUGUUGGCAAAGUAAUGUCUUUGCUUUUUAAUAUGCUGUCUAGGUUUGUCAUAGCUUUUCUUCCAAGGAGCAAGCAUCUUUUAAUUUUAUGGCUUAGGAACUGACUUAGGAAAUGUUAAUAAUUGAAUGUUAAGUGAAUAAAGAAUGUACUGAGCAAUAUAAACAAACAUAAAUUAUCUGCA
ensembl:lncRNA